CCGAUCUUUUACGUAAAGCACCUUCCCCGCAAGUCACAGGACACAUUUGCCAAGGACCUACCCACCAUCUAAAAAAUGGAGGUCAAGAUAGUUCAUCGUCGGAUGGAAAGAUAGUGGAUAAGCUUGUUAUUUCAAGGAUCAUCGUACUCACGUAGACCGCAAUAUCUUCUUUGAUAGGGCCAGGUAUUCUGAUCUUUUCUCUAUCUCGAUCACGUUCAUAAAGGGCCGGAGUUCCGGCGACUUCGUAUUCUCCUGCCAGAGUGAUCUGCCUGUCCAAUUAGUAUCCUGGCGUUAGACUUCAGUUCGAACAAAUCUUUAUCAGAUACAAGUGAGGAGAGCAGACCGAUGCAUCUCUGACGCCAAAUUGAAGUCUACAUUGAUGUUCAGCGUUAUACAUAGCUCCUGGUGGUAGAUCCGGAUCAUGCUCACUUAUGUCCAAGUUCGUGAGUGAUCGUAUGUGCGAGGGUGAUACCGUUGUCCUCGUUGACGCUACAACUACGAUCAGGUUGACACAUGCCGGCCACGUGGGCCAC